UAAGCGACUAAGCGUACACGGUGGAUGCCCUGGCAGUCAGAGGCGAUGAAGGACGUGCUAAUCUGCGAAAAGCGCCGGCGAGGUGAUAUGAACCUUUGACCCGGCGAUGUCCGAAUGGGGAAACCCAGUGCAAUCCGUUGCACUAUCGUUAACUGAAUACAUAGGUUAACGAGGCGAACCGGGGGAACUGAAACAUCUAAGUACCCCGAGGAAAAGAAAUCAACCGAGAUUCCCCCAGUAGCGGCGAGCGAACGGGGAGCAGCCCGGAGUCUGAAUCAGCUUGUGUGUUAGUGGAACGGUCUGGAAAGUCCGACGGUACAGGGUGAUAGUCCCGUACACGAAAGCACACUUGCUGUGAACUCGAAGAGUAGGGCGGGACACGUGGUAUCCUGUCUGAAUAUGGGGGGACCAUCCUCCAAGGCUAAAUACUCCUGACUGACCGAUAGUGAACCAGUACCGUGAGGGAAAGGCGAAAAGAACCCCGGCGAGGGGAGUGAAAAAGAACCUGAAACCGUGUACGUACAAGCAGUGGGAGCCUCUUUAUGGGGUGACUGCGUACCUUUUGUAUAAUGGGUCAGCGACUUAUAUUCUGUAGCAAGGUUAACCGUAUAGGGGAGCCGAAGGGAAACCGAGUCUUAACUGGGCGUUAAGUUGCAGGGUAUAGACCCGAAACCCGGUGAUCUAGCCAUGGGCAGGUUGAAGGUUGGGUAACACUAACUGGAGGACCGAACCGACUAAUGUUGAAAAAUUAGCGGAUGACCUGUGGCUGGGGGUGAAAGGCCAAUCAAACCGGGAGAUAGCUGGUUCUCCCCGAAAGCUAUUUAGGUAGCGCCUCGUGAACUCAUCUUCGGGGGUAGAGCACUGUUUCGGCUAGGGGGCCAUCCCGGCUUACCAACCCGAUGCAAACUACGAAUACCGAAGAAUGUUAUCACGGGAGACACACGGCGGGUGCUAACGUCCGUCGUGAAGAGGGAAACAACCCAGACCGCCAGCUAAGGUCCCAAAGUCAUGGUUAAGUGGGAAACGAUGUGGGAAGGCACAGACAGCCAGGAUGUUGGCUUAGAAGCAGCCAUCAUUUAAAGAAAGCGUAAUAGCUCACUGGUCGAGUCGGCCUGCGCGGAAGAUGUAACGGGGCUAAACCAUGCACCGAAGCUGCGGCAGCGACACUAUGUGUUGUUGGGUAGGGGAGCGUUCUGUAAGCCGUUGAAGGUGUGCUGUGAGGCAUGCUGGAGGUAUCAGAAGUGCGAAUGCUGACAUAAGUAACGAUAAAGCGGGUGAAAAGCCCGCUCGCCGGAAGACCAAGGGUUCCUGUCCAACGUUAAUCGGGGCAGGGUGAGUCGACCCCUAAGGCGAGGCCGAAAGGCGUAGUCGAUGGGAAACAGGUUAAUAUUCCUGUACUUGGUGUUACUGCGAAGGGGGGACGGAGAAGGCUAUGUCAGCCGGGCGACGGUUGUCCCGGUUUAAGCAUGUAGGCGGAGGUUCCAGGUAAAUCCGGUACCUUUUAACGCUGAGGUGUGAUGACGAGGCACUACGGUGCUGAAGUGAUAAAUGCCCUGCUUCCAGGAAAAGCCUCUAAGCAUCAGGUAACACGAAAUCGUACCCCAAACCGACACAGGUGGUCAGGUAGAGAAUACCAAGGCGCUUGAGAGAACUCGGGUGAAGGAACUAGGCAAAAUGGUGCCGUAACUUCGGGAGAAGGCACGCUGAUGUGUAGGUGAAGCCCCUGCGGGUGGAGCUGAAAUCAGUCGAAGAUACCAGCUGGCUGCAACUGUUUAUUAAAAACACAGCACUGUGCAAACACGAAAGUGGACGUAUACGGUGUGACGCCUGCCCGGUGCCGGAAGGUUAAUUGAUGGGGUUAGCGGCAACGCGAAGCUCUUGAUCGAAGCCCCGGUAAACGGCGGCCGUAACUAUAACGGUCCUAAGGUAGCGAAAUUCCUUGUCGGGUAAGUUCCGACCUGCACGAAUGGCGUAAUGAUGGCCAGGCUGUCUCCACCCGAGACUCAGUGAAAUUGAACUCGCUGUGAAGAUGCAGUGUACCCGCGGCAAGACGGAAAGACCCCGUGAACCUUUACUAUAGCUUGACACUGAACACUGGUCCUUGAUGUGUAGGAUAGGUGGGAGGCUUUGAAGCGUGGACGCCAGUCUGCGUGGAGCCAACCUUGAAAUACCACCCUUUAAUGGCUGGUGUUCUAACGUAGACCCGUAAUCCGGGUUGCGGACAGUGUCUGGUGGGUAGUUUGACUGGGGCGGUCUCCUCCCAAAGAGUAACGGAGGAGCACGAAGGUUGGCUAAUCCUGGUCGGACAUCAGGAGGUUAGUGCAAUGGCAUAAGCCAGCUUGACUGCGAGCGUGACGGCGCGAGCAGGUGCGAAAGCAGGUCAUAGUGAUCCGGUGGUUCUGAAUGGAAGGGCCAUCGCUCAACGGAUAAAAGGUACUCCGGGGAUAACAGGCUGAUACCGCCCAAGAGUUCAUAUCGACGGCGGUGUUUGGCACCUCGAUGUCGGCUCAUCACAUCCUGGGGCUGAAGUAGGUCCCAAGGGUAUGGCUGUUCGCCAUUUAAAGUGGUACGCGAGCUGGGUUUAGAACGUCGUGAGACAGUUCGGUCCCUAUCUGCCGUGGGCGCUGGAGAAUUGAGGGGGGCUGCUCCUAGUACGAGAGGACCGGAGUGGACGCAUCACUGGUGUUCGGGUUGUCAUGCCAAUGGCACUGCCCGGUAGCUAAAUGCGGAAGAGAUAAGUGCUGAAAGCAUCUAAGCACGAAACUUGCCCCGAGAUGAGUUCUCCCUGAGACCUUGAGUCUCCUGAAGGAACGUUGAAGACGACGACGUUGAUAGGUCGGGUGUGUAAGCGCAGCGAUGCGUUGAGCUAACCGAUACUAAUGAACCGUGAGGCUUAACCU
rnacentral:rRNA from 2 species